AUACGUAGGUGACAAGCGUUAUCCGGAUUUACUGGGCGUAAAGGGCGUGUAGGCGGUCUUGCAAGUCAGAAGUGAAAUUCCUGAGCUCAACUCGGGCGCUGCUUCUGAAACUGCAGGACUUGAGUGCUGGAGGGGAUAGCGGAAUUCCUAGUGGAGCGGUAAAAUGCGCAGAUAUUAGGAAGAACACCGGUGGCGAAGGCGGCUAUCUGGACAGGAACUGACGCUGAGGCGCGAAAGCGUGGGGAGCAAACAGGAUUAGAUACCCUGGUAGUCCACGCUGUAAACGAUGAAUACUAGGUGUAGGGGGUAUCGACUCCCUCUGUGCCGCAGUUAACACAAUAAGUAUUCCGCCUGGGGAGUACGGCCGCAAGGUUGAAACUCAAAUGAAUUGACGGGG
rnacentral:rRNA from 1 species